AGUGAACGCUGGCGGUAGGCCUAACACAUGCAAGUCGAACGGCAGCACAGUAAGAGCUUGCUCUUACGGGUGGCGAGUGGCGGACGGGCGAGGAAUACAUCGGAAUCUACUUUUUCGUGGGGGAUAACGUAGGGAAACUUACGCUAAUACCGCAUACGACCUACGGGUGAAAGCAGGGGAUCUUCGGACCUUGCGCGAUUGAAUGAGCCGAUGUCGGAUUAGCUAGUUGGCGGGGUAAAGGCCCACCAAGGCGACGAUCCGUAGCUGGUCUGAGAAGAUGAUCAGCCACACUGGGACUGAGACACGGUCCAGACUCCUACGGGAGGCAGCAGUGGGGAAUAUUGGACAAUGGGCGCAAGCCUGAUCCAGCCAUACCGCGUGGGUGAAGAAGGCCUUCGGGUUGUAAAGCCCUUUUGUUGGGAAAGAAAAGCAGCAGGUUAAUACCCCGCUGUUCUGACGGUACCCAAAGAAUAAGCACCGGCUAACUUCGUG
rnacentral:rRNA from 1 species